AUCUUCUCUGCUCUCCUUUCUCAGCUACCUCUUUGCAAGCCCUUGAUCCUCUCUGCUCUCCUUAUUUCAGAAGUUUGUUAAACUCUCUUACCUGCUUAUAGUCCUCAUCCGAGUCUCUCUUACCAUUUUGGGUUUAUACUAUCACUUUAACAGAAUCUCAGAGGGAGGGGAGGUAAACACACAUGUGUUUUGGAAAGACUUCUCUGAAUACAGUGUUGAAGAGUUGAUUGGAGGGGCAUAAAGGGAGACAAAUGAGCGUGACCAUCACAUGGCAGUGAAGACAGGAGCUGUACAAGACGAUCGCAGGGCUCCAGAUAAUGGAUGGAGGACAGUGAGAAGAUGUGUGUGAACUUUCUGUCAUGAAGGGCAAUUUGCAGGAACUAAUCAUCUUACAAUGGUUGGUCAUAAGAAAGAAAUCCAUCAACCAAGCAUCCUGCAUAGACUUCCCUAAGAACAACAAAACUCUUCAAAGCAGCCUUGCAAGUAGAAUGAAGAAUGUUACCUGGCUCCGUGCUCCUGUGGGAUACGCUGGAGAUCCGAUGCGGCAGUUGUCAGAUUACCUCAAUACAGUGUUGACUCUGUUAUUUCCUAGGUGGGUGACCCUGGGCAAGUUAUUGAAAUUUCCCAAACUUAUUUCCUUAUUUGUCAAGCCAAUAUAAAAUCUAAAAAGCCCCUCUCGGGGUUAUGGGAUUAAAUGAGAUAGUGAAUUCAGGGCCUAGAACAGAAGAAACAGUCAAUAAACAUUAGUUAUUGCUGUUGUGGACUAA